rnacentral:rRNA from 1 species
CGAACGCGAAAACGGCUUCGGCCGUAAGUAGAGUGGCAAACGGGUGAGUAACGCGUGGGUGACCUAUCUUCGAGUGGGGGAUAACGUUUCGAAAGGAACGCUAAUACCGCAUAACAUCCCGUCUUUGGAAAGACGGUGAUCAAAGCUGGGGAUCGUAAGACCUGGCACUUGAUGAGGGGCCCGCGUCCGAUUAGCUUGUUGGUGGGGUAAUGGCCUACCAAGGCGACAAUCGGUAUCCGGCCUAAGAGGGCGGACGGACACACUGGGACUGAGACACGGCCCAGACUCCUACGGGAGGCAGCAGUGGGGAAUUGUUCGCAAUGGACGAAAGUCUGACGACGCAACGCCGCGUGGAGGACGAAGACCUUCGGGUCGUAAACACCUGUCGAGUGGGACGAAAACCACCCGGGUAAAUAGCCCGGGAGGCUGACGGUACCAUUAAAGGAAGCCCCGGCUAACUCCGUGCCAGCAGCCGCGGUAAUACGGGGGGGGCAAGCGUUGUUCGGAAUUACUGGGCGUAAAGAGCUCGUAGGCGGCUUGUUUAGUCGGACAUGAAAUCCCUUGGCUCAACUGAGGAACUGCGCCCGAUACUGGCAGGCUUGAAUCCGGGAGAGGGAUGCGGAAUUCCAGGUGUAGCGGUGAAAUGCGUAGAUAUCUGGAGGAACACCGGUGGCGAAGGCGGCAUCCUGGACCGGCAUUGACGCUGAGGAGCGAAAGCUAGGGUAGCAAACGGGAUUAGAUACCCCGGUAGUCCUAGCCCUAAACGAUGAAUGCUUGGUGGUGGCGGGUAUCGAUCCCUGCUGUGCCGAAGCUAACGCAUUAAGCAUUCCGCCUGGGGAGUACGGUCGCAAGGCUGAACUCAAAGGAAUUGACGGGGGCCCGCACAGCGGUGAGCAUGUGAUCAUUCGACGCACGCGAGAUCUUACUCAGGCUGAAGUGCGAGUGACAUCGAUGAAGUCGACUCGCAGACACUCGUAGAGUGCUGCAUGCUGUCGUCAGCUCGUGUCGUGAGAUGUGGGUAGUCCCGCACGAGCGCAACCCUGUCGCUGUUGCAUCAGUUCGCUGGCACUCUGCGAAACUGCCGGUGAUAUCCGAGAAAGAGGGGGAUGAACCUCAGUCACAUGGCCUUAUGUUCUGGGGGUUACACCCUGCCUCAAUGGGCGGUUCAACGAGUGUCUACCCCCGCAGGGGGUGGCGUUAUUUCUCCUCAAAAAACA